UUGGUGGUCACACUAAUCUGUGUUUCUCGAAACUUCUUUAGCGUCUGCUUAUUGGGGAAAUAAAAAGUGAAAAAAGUUUAUAUUCGCGAGUGAAUUCGUUGGCAUUAUUUUGUGUAUGGGCACUUCCAUUCUGGCCAUACAAAAUGUUAUAAAAAGGAAUGAAAAAUUUCUCUCCGAUGAAUGUACAAUUUGGAAAGCUUCAGAAUAGAAUCCUUCGCGGUUGGAGCCCCUUUGGUCCACACCACUGUGGAUAAUUUACGGGGCAUACUUUUAUGGAACCCAGAACAAUUGCCCGACAUUUUCUGUCAACCCUCGUGACAAAAAGGAAAAAAAAACAAGACAGAGAUGCAAAAAGAAUUUGACGAGUGCUCGUGCUCGGCUCAGCUCAACCUCAAAUUUGGCUCGGAAAAAAUUGGCCAAAAAAUUGCGAACAGCAAAAAUAUGUGAAAGCUGGAGAACCUUAAAACGAAAACGAAACGUUAUGGCUGAAAACGUAAUCCGCAAAAGUAAAUGAAAAACGGAGCCUGCCUGAUGAAAUAUGUUUUGAUCAAAUAUUUUUUACUUUAAUGUGAGUAAAAAUUCUUCCAUUUUAAU